GAUGAACGCUGGCGGCGUGCUUAACACAUGCAAGUCGAACGGAAAGGCCAGUGCUUGCACUGGUACUCGAGUGGCGAACGGGUGAGUAACACGUGGGUGAUCUGCCCUGUACUUCGGGAUAAGCUUGGGAAACUGGGUCUAAUACCGGAUAGGACAACUUUUUGGAUAUUGUUGUGGAAAGCUUUUGCGGUAUGGGAUGAGCUCGCGGCCUAUCAGCUUGUUGGUGGGGUAAUGGCCUACCAAGGCGUCGACGGGUAGCCGGCCUGAGAGGGUGUACGGCCACAUUGGGACUGAGAUACGGCCCAGACUCCUACGGGAGGCAGCAGUGGGGAAUAUUGCACAAUGGGCGCAAGCCUGAUGCAGCGACGCCGCGUGGGGGAUGAAGGCCUUCGGGUUGUAAACUCCUUUCGCUAGGGACGAAGCGUAAGGGACGGUACCUGGAGAAGAAGCACCGGCUAACUACGU
rnacentral:rRNA from 1 species